rnacentral:rRNA from 1 species
GCUGGAAUUGCUAGUAAUGGCAGGUCAGCAUACUGCCGUGAAUACGUUCCCGGGCCUUGUACACACCGCCCGUCAAGCCAUGGGAGCCGGGGGUGCUUGAAGUGCGUCGCCGCAAGGCGCGCCCUAGAGCAAAACCGGUGACUGGGGCUAAGUCGUAACAAGGUACC